rnacentral:tRNA from 15 species
GGGGGUGUAGCUCAUAUGGUAGAGCGCUCGAAUGUUGUGCGAGAGGCACGGGGUUCGAUUCUUGCACCUUCA